ACUAUAUAAUAGGAGUUCUGUACAACAUAGAUAAUAAUUACAUCAUAUGAUGACAAUGAUCCUCCGCAACCAUAGUUUACUGGGAGACGAUGGCCUAGACCUCUCACGAACUCAUCACGGCAUCCUUCAUGUUCCUUAUCUUGUGGUACAUGUCCUUGACCUAGGAGGAAUUUGAGUACAGCAAGGGUGAGCUCACAUAUGUUCAUCGCUCAACAAAUUGUGGGGAAUAAUGUGCAUGAGCUCACUUAUGGUGGGGGUUCAUGUGAAGUGUAAGGCUUACCAAAGAAGAUGGUUAAAGCUGAGCAUUGCUUUUAAAGUUGGUCAAAAUUUUAUUAGCAGUUACUAAGUAUAAGUAGAUAGCAACCCAAUCAAAUAAGAGAUCACAAUUAAUAAUAAACCCACAAUGCAAUGCAAAUGACAAAUUAAGUUUAAAUACAUAUGUUAAUCAUGUGAGUGUCUGAGCCGCUUAUGAUCGUGAGUACAGCCGAUAUACCAGUUUUGCACUUUGCAGAGGUUGCACAUCUUUACCUAUAAGUCGUGUUAGCCAUUUGCCAAGGGAUCACGACUUCCCAUUCAUCUCUAAUGAGGAGACGAGGUAGAGUAGCACUACGAGGCCUUUCCAAAGUUCCACUAGUUCGAGAAAACCCGCUACAGAUUCAGGAAGAAGGAAGCAUAGGAAUCCCUUGUCCCAAAAGCUUUACAGACAGUUCAACCCGAGGACCUCCCUAUACUCUACAGCAAUGCCUCUCCGCUUGCCCGUUUUGGGUAAGGUAAUCUCUCCCUAGCUUUCCUAAUUACUUGGCCAAGGGCGUCCCAUUCCACCCUUGUGGUAGCAAUGUUUUCCCGGGUGGUUCUCCAUGUUCCAAUUAAUACAAUAAUCUUAUCAUGAAUAAUAAUUAAACCAACAGUAUUAAUGGAACAUGAUCAUAUAUAACAUUAAUGUUCCAAAACCAGGUAGAGCAAUAGCAAAUCUACCCAAUAGUUCAUUUGUUUGCAAGGUGUGGGAUAAACAAUACUAGGGAAACCUAUUAGGUCCCAUAAAAUUAACCUAAGCAUGUCACAGUGAUUAAUAGGAGCAUUAUUAGGUAAAGAGGAGUGAUCAAGGGCACAACUUGCCUUAUACUAGAGACUUCAGGUGCUUCACCAAGUUGGUCUUCGAGUUUCUCGUGACCUUGCUACUACUCCUAGCAAUACAUACAAAUAGACAAGGAAUACAUAAAGAUAACAUUGCACCAAACACGAGAACAAACAACAUAAGAAUAUUCUACGAGCCGCUACGAGAUCGCAGGUUUGAGAACUACUAAAAUCAGAGUUACUGUUAAAACAAAUGGUUUUCUGAAUUUUUAGGUGAUUAAAUAGUAAAUAUAUAUUAAUUAAUAUAAAUCACGUGAGAAAAAUAUUAUGGAGAAACAACUAAUUCAGUUAUAAUCUAAGUGAUAACUUGAUUAGCAAUCAUAUUCUAGGCAUCUUAUAAUUAUAAAUAGAUUAACUUUGACUAGACAUCUAUUGGCAUAUGUUACACAAAUAUCUAUUUUUGAGAACAUGUUACCUAACAAAAUAAUGUUACAAAAACGUAGGCAAUAUUAUUACGAAGCUAACGCAACUAGAACGGAGCAAAACAGAGUUGAAACGAAGAAGAUAUGAUUUUUUGCAAAUUUGUAGGUUUAUUUUUAUACAUAUAAUUUAAUUUCCAGAUCUUUAUUUUAAUUAAACUGGUCUCAUGUACUACGGGUUAUAUUCCUUAGGAGCUUAGGGUCAAUCGGGUGAAAAACAGGACCUAUGCGCAAUUAGUUUUGACUAGGGCCAAACUGUGGGUUCAUUUGAUAUAAGAAGAGGGACUUUUUUUAGAAAGUGGGUCGGUUGUAUCAAGGUGGGUGAAAUCUGAGCCAUUUGAUUUAAGAUCGAUGAUCAUUACAAAAAAUCUGAACCGGGAUGCAAUGUGGACUGUCCAUUCAGAGAUCGACGGAUCCUGUUUAAUGAAACGAAGGGGUUCCCUCGAUCUAAUCUAGAUCGUUGAUUUACGGAUCAGCGGCUACCUCUCUUCUUCCCCACCUAGCCGCAACAGUCGGUGGCGCCCAUAGCCGCGCGGUGGCGCCAUGGCUAGGGUAGGGCCAUCAGAUGAUCCUUCACUCCAAAGCCAAGGCUAACCAGGGUAACACGAAGAGGAGGGAAAGUCGAAUAGUGUGGGGGUUUCUCACCGGUGUUCGAGACGCAAUCGAUGCUCCCCACUGUGACGCGCGGACCCGCAGCGACGGAGGAGCGACAUCGAGGAAUCGGUGGCGCUUCGGUGGAUCACAUCGCCUGGGUAGGCCACAAUCAGUUUUGGUAGACUCCUGUGAUCACUCCAGGCCAAGCUUCAAGGCCGGUGCACCAACGAGCCAAGAAGACCAUGCCGACGGCUGCACUUAUCCCUCUCGGCGAUGACGGUGGCUGGGAACCCAGAGUGGAGCGGCGAUGUUCAAAGCAGACACGACACUGAGGCAUUUAUACCCCAAGUUU
rnacentral:lncRNA from 1 species